rnacentral:rRNA from 1 species
UAACUGAAGAGUUUGAUCAUGGCUCAGAUUGAACGAUGGAGGCAGGCUUAACACAUGCAAGUCGAGCGGGGGAAGGUAGCUUGCUACU